GAGGACAUCUCCACAUCCGCGAACCAUCUGUAGCUCCUCGUGCUCACGUCCUCAAGUUCUCUAACGAUUAUGUUAAAUAAAGUCCAUACGUCCUGCUCACAGACUGCCAGAGACAGGACAUGUCCACAUGCAGUAUACUCCUCACAGAGGACAUCUCCUCCAUGUUUACUCACGAACUGUUUGCACGCACGUGCGCAUGAACGCUGGCUGCAGCUCCGGUCACAGGAAGAAUGAUAAAUUUUAACAGAAAUCAGAGCGCACAUCUGCAGCGCUACACAAGAAGAAAUAUCAACUAGAAGAGAAAUCAGAGCACACACCUGCUCAUUUUACAGUCUGGCUGCAGGUGUGCU